UACAGGGGGUGCAAGCGUUGCUCGGAAUCACUGGGCGUAAAGCGUACGCAGGCGGACCGUUAAGUCGGGUGUGAAGGCCCGGGGCUCAACCCCGGAACUGCAUUCGAUACUGGCGGUCUUGAAUACGGGAGAGGUGAGUGGAAUUCCUGGUGUAGAGGUGAAAUUCGUAGAUAUCAGGAGGAACACCGGUGGCGAAAGCGGCUCACUGGCCCGAUAUUGACGCUCAUGUACGAAAGCGUGGGGAGCAAACAGG
rnacentral:rRNA from 1 species